rnacentral:lncRNA from 1 species
UCGGAAUCAAGCUCCCGAACGUCGUGUGCAUCGACGCGAAGGGGAUGCCACUCAAUGACGACCACCUUCACCUCACCACUCAUGCCCAGGUCCGCCUCGGCCACAUGCUGGCCGAUGCGUACCUCCAGCACUUCACACCAUAGCCCCACCCUAAAAGAAGAAGAAGAAGAAACCACAAAACAACCUCUUCUCUCGCGCUGGCUCCUCUUUCAUGUAAUAAUGUCAAAAGUUCCAUCCUCCCGUCCUUUCAAGGCAGGCUGGGUGAGGUUUGUUCCGAGGGGUGAUUCCAAGUGUGCCUGCUUUUGAUUCGCCAUACAAUUGAGUGUAAGAAAUUCCAAGUAGUUCUCUUUUCUUCUUCUUUUUCUUUUUCUUUUUUUUUUUAAUUUAUGAGGUUGGUUCUCAUUUUAUUCUUGACGCACUCAUCUCAUUUACAAUCAGUAAAAUAAAUAAAUAAAAUUCAAAAAAUAAUAAUAAGGGUUAAUACCCUGAAAAACGUCAAACUAAUACACUUGUGACAAAUUUAUCCCAAAUUAUUUUUUUGACUUCUAAAAAUCCAAAAUUGGUAUAUCUUUAACAAAUUUACUCAAAACUAGUACAUUUGUGAAAAAUUUACUCUUUGUUAGUUUUUGUUAAAUUUUACAGUCAAAUUAUUAAGUUAGCAGAAGGUAUAUUUGUUACAUAUUUACUAAUUGGAGAUUUUUUGCGGUCGAAUAAAUUAAUUUAGAGUAAAUUUGUCAUAAAUGUACCAAUUUAAGGUUUUUUUAUAGUUAGUCGAAGUAAAUUUGUCAUAAGUAUAUAUGUUUGGGGUUUUUGGAGGUAAAAAGAAUAAUUUUUGAUAAAUUUGUCAUAAGUGUAUGAAGUUUUUUAGGAUAUUAAUCCUAAUAAUAAUAGAGAGAGAGAGAGAGAUAUGGCCUUUUGCAUAAGAAAGCAAAUUAGACAUUCCAUUCCUCUCACCUACUUCUGGGGUCCACUGUCAAGUUGGACAGUGGCCCAUCAUGCGGCCCGAGGCGCGUCAUCCGGCUUUUUGCGCGGCCCAUGCAUUGCGAUUUUCGAUUGCUUUGAGAGGGGGAAAGAGGAUCAAACGAGUUCAACCGAAAUUGUCCGAAGGGUAAAAUCGUAACUUUGUCCGAAGAUCUGCGUUUCUAUUUUUGGACAAUGCAAACGAUGACAUUUAAUAAAAUAUUUUUUUAAUCAUUUAUUUCUGCGCGACAAAAGUUUUCAAUAAAAUAAUUUCUUGUACCGCGUGUAAAAAUGAAUGAAUUAAAAAGAUUUCAAUCAUCUAGUUUGAAUAUAAAUUAUUGUCGAUAAUGAAAAUAUUUUUUAUUGAUUAAUAUUUCAAGCAAAGAAUCGAUUAUUUUAUAGGAAAAUAUUUUUGAAAUGAUUUGUUUUCCGUAAUUUCAUGAGAACUCCAUAGAGCCUAGUUGAUUCUUUUUGUAUAUAUAUGCACGAUUGCAGUCCUGCUGCCCAGUUCAAGGAUUUGAAGACUCCAAGAAUGCAAUGACUGAUGAGUACGUUAUAUGGAUACAGAAGGCUUGCGUACUUUGGAGCUGCUCUUUGUUCCCCUAGCCAUCACAGGACUUGCAGUCAAGCCUUCCUUCUCAUGUUCUAAUGCUGUUUUUAAUGCUUGCAAGACCUCUUCAAGGCACUUCAUUCACUGUAGGCUUUGCGACUGAUCAAACUGUUAAUGCCACACUACGAGGUCUUUGUCAAGACUUUAUUCCGAUUCAACUAAGAGAAACUUUCAUUCUUUACUUAAAGCAGAAGGAGCCACUUUAUGAAAAUUACAUGCAAAGAACCGAUGCUUUAUCUAUUUCCAGGGACAUCAAAACAGACGAACACAGAUUACUUCUUUCCCAUGUUUUCUGACAAGCAUAAAGUUAAAUCUGAGGGGCAAACGACAAUAGCUGUUUCCUAAGACAAAAUACUAUCUAAGCAAAUCCCUGUCUCCUUUCCUUUUCCUGAGUAAAACCAAUGACUAACCAUGAGACUUGAAAAGAGUGGCCAAAGGAAAUGAUGCGAGGGACAGGAGCAGAAGACACGGUUGUUUGUACGUUUGGCCUGCUCAAUUCUCAUGCACCAACCCCAUUCUUCUGACCCACUGGCUUCUCCUCAUUUGCAUCUUCUGUCUCAGCAACACAAUGUGAAGUGAACCUCAUGAGCUUUUACCUGACGGAAGCCAUCCAAUGCUUCACUCCAAAAGCCGAACCAAAUGACGCCUAAGUCCUCUCCCUCAGCUGAUCGCAUUAGAGAGUUAUAAUUAUCUUGUUAGCUCAAUAAGAAGAGAUAAUUAUGAUAUGCUCUCCAUUUGUCACUUCAUGGAUAAGAAAGUUUCUAAUUCUUGAGUGCCUUAUGGUACACAUUAAUGACAUCUAAAGAUUAAAAGGCGACCUUUGAAAAGCCAAGAGAAGAUCUUAUUUGUGGAAUAGCAUAUUCGUCUCAGAUAAUCAUCAGUUAUCAUACUCUUCUCAUUAGGUAAUGUAUGACCAUUGCUCACAUUUGUUAAUUAUGUGAAUCCUAUUAUCAUGCCCACGUGAUUACGGUAGAAAUAAAUUUUAGAUUUGUAUAAUUUACUUUCUUUUCUCUAACAUUACAUAAUCAAGAAUUAGGUAAUGUACGAUCAUUGCUCACAUUCGUUAAUCAUGUGAAUUCUAUCAUCAUGAUCACGUGAUUACGAUUCAAAUAAAUUUUAGAUUGGUAUAGUUUACUUUCUUUUCUCCAACAUUACCAACAUUACAGAAUCAAGAAAACCACUCUUUUUCUUUUCUUUUCUUUUCACUUGGCGGUUUUUUCACUCAUUAUGUUGCCUACUGAGGGCCCCACCCCACACCUCGGUAUAACCAUGAGCUAAAGAACUACCAUCACCAAUUCAAAAAAUUACAAGCAUGAGAUCGAUAAAAACAAGGGCCAUGUCGAAAAGAAUGAGAUUUAUGACACGUUUAGCUGCAAUAGUGUCACUCUAUUACAAAUUUAUUGCAGAUUGACUGCCUAUUAAAGUGCUUUUCGCAGUAAUAAUUAUUAUAACGUAAUUUUUAAGUGGCCGUCCUUUUCUUUCCACUCACUCUACUAAGAAAAAUUUAUUCAUUACUAAAUUUAUUUAUAUUGUUUAAGUGAGAACACCAAUUGUAAAUUUAUAUGAAUUAAUUAGUAAUAUAUUAAAUAAUAGGUAAAAAACUGGUAUAACCGUUACUAAGUUUCUUGAUGAUGCGCAAAUUUUUUAUUGUGUUAAAAAUUAUUGAUACGAUAAUAAUUAGAAAAAUAUUAGUUAAUCACAAAAAUUAUUUCACUCACAUGUUUGUAUCCUUUAAUUUAAAUGGAAACUAAAGACAGGCUGAAUAGACAUAGAUGGCGGCAAGGGAAAGCAGGCUGAGAUCGUCGCGCGCGCUCUUGAUGGGUGCCUCCACGUACCCCCGGCACUGUCUAGGUGGGAAGGGAGAGCGGGCUGGAACGUCGCGCACGUUCUUGAUGAGCACCUCCAUAUACCCCCGGUACGACGGCAGUGCCUUAAUCUCCCUGCCGCCGCCGCCGCCACCGCCACUACCGCCGUCCCCAUCCCUCACCCUCCUUGCCAUGCUCUCGUAUAGGUGCUCCUAUGCUCCCACUCCCGUAUCACCAUUCCCCCGCCUCACAUUGCACUAGCUCCACCCUCCCUCGCAAGCGCACCUCAAAAGUUAACUCAAAAUAUAAAACUUUUUAUUAUAAUUAUAAAUUCACCAUUAGCGUCUUUUACAAUUGAUAUAGGACAACCUCAAUAUCAAUGUUGCCAUGAAGGGGUUCUCAGGCCUCUCCCAUCGGAGGGCGACGCUAAGGCGCUCCAGGGGACGACCUUGUCCUAGCCGUGGUGGCGAGUGAUGCUGCUGUGGCUGGCCAUGUUACUCUAGCCAAAGAAGAUAGAUAUAAAAUCCUCUUAUAACAUCCCGGGCCCCACUGUGUAANNNNNNNNNNNNNNNNNNNNNNNNNNNNNNNNNNNNNNNNNNNNNNNNNNNNNNNNNNNNNNNNNNNNNNNNNNNNNNNNNNNNNNNNNNNNNNNNNNNNUAACCAGUGUAAGGCGUUUCCAAGCCACGAGAGAAAAGACCGUGGCUUAGACGCGUUUUAAAGCCACGAGAGAAAAGACCGUGGAUAAGAUGGCGGUUCGUUCGCACCAGAGCGGAUGACCCAAAGCGGACAAUAUUACACAAUGGGGCCCGGGAUGUUACACCUCUACCAUAAACUUAUAACAUUCAUCGUUGUUACAUGGGCUGAAUGAUUUUUAAAGUAUAUUUAUCCACGCACUUAGAAUCCACCCCUUGAAUCGAACACGACCUGGCCCACCUCUAAAGGACAGCAGGACGAAACUUUGACAUUAUUCUCUCACACCAUGACAUGUAACUACAAAAUUGAUGCCCUCGAGUCUUGCGCGACAAAGCAGGGUCCUUGCAUGAAGGAGGAGAGAACUAGGGGUGUCAAUGGGUCAGGUCGGGUCGGAUUUUGUUGUUACCCGACCCGACCUGAAACACAAUCGGUCACAUACUAUGACCCGACCCGAACCGACCCGAAACACAUUAAAUGGUCUAAUGUGUUUCGGGUCGGUUCGGAUCAGGUUAUUGGGUUUCUUGCUUCUUCUUUUUUUUUUUCUUUCUUUCUUUUCUUUGGGGUUUGGGUUAAAACUCUGCAGCAAUCAUCCCAUCCUGAUCCCAUUCUUAUGCAAACAGGUUAUUACAAGAACCUGAUUUUAACAUCAAUUCUUGCGAGUGAUCAAUCUAAGUCUUUUUAACUGAUAAAAACUCAAUAGCAGAGCACCAAGUAGAAGAACAGAGAGCAGCGAAGAAAAAAUCCCAAGAAACCUAAAGCUUUGGCACUUCAACCUGUUGGGCAGGUUCCAUAUCCAAAAUAAAACUGAGUUUUUUUUUAUCAAACUCACCCAUAAGACCACUGCAAAUUCCUUUUCGAUUCUCAUGAUUUAUGAAGAGACAAUUACAUUUUGCGAUAGUAAGGAUCAUUCCAGUAACACCUACCCAACUGGCCACAUUAAUGAAGUGCUGAAUUGCAGAAUUCAACUUAAGUUCAUGAAAGACCAGCUACAUAGGACUAGCGAGCCGCUACUCGUGCUCCACUCUAGAUACUCCAAAGAAACAUACCAACCUAAUACUGCAGUGAUGAAGCUGCUUCAUGCUAAUCCACAUUGUUCAAUUGCUUUUUCUUUCUCAAAGGUCGCAAAGUACUGAUAAAUGAUGGUGACGGUGAGAAGAAUCCCAGUCCAAAGGCAGACUUGACAGACAUUUUUCAACUUGCAAGAAUUCCGGCAAAUUUCAGUUUUCUUGCAUCUAGCAUAUGCACCUGUUCUGUAUACAAAGUAACGAGCGAUUGAAUCAAAAAUUGGUAAAAUAGAGCACGCCAGUGACAAUUACCCAUGCCCUUAUCGCCAACAAUGACAAGCUUGAAGCCCGGGUGAUUGAACAUCUGCUGAUUCGACAAAGCCUGAAAGAGACGCAAGGGAAACAACAACAAUUAAAACAACAAACCAAAUGAGAUAAAAAAAAAUUCAAACUUUGCGAUCACGUAACCAGACCGCUCAGCUCCAGAACCCCAAAAGAAACAGCAUCUGACCAGGACCCAAAAGCUCGAGCAGAAUCACAAAAAGAAUAGAGAUUCAAGAAGACCCAGCAACAACAGAACACGAGCUAUUGAUAUAAGAAUGGACGUGCAGAAAAUGGAACGAUGAAAAGGAAAGAAUGGACUGUCAGCGAGCGAAACUUACUGAGAAUGGACUGAUUCUAAUACCAAAACCAAUGAACCCAAAGAAAAUUCAAUCACUCAAGAUAAACAGAGACCCAAGCAGCAUCACCUAUACCGUUGGUCCAACCGAAGUCUCCCACAGGAAUACAAGGCAAGAAGCCAAUUUCCACUUAAAACCCACCACAUUAUCCGCAAAAAACGAAAGCCACAUUCCAAUUUAAACGAACAACAAGUGCCCAAAACACCCAUCCUUUGCCACAAGAGAAAAAAGGAGGGGGGCAAAAAACGCAUUUACCACGUCGUGUCGGUGGGGGACUUCCGGACGGCGAGGCGGGUCCAGGCGACGACCUUCUCGGAGGGCAAGUCCCUGGCCUCGACGAGCGUCGAGACGAUCCUGAUGAGCUGGACGGAGUUAGUGAGCUCCUUCCUCCACUGGAUCUCCUGGGGCCUCGGGUACGCGGCUGCCUGGAGGGAGCACCUCUGCCGGGCGUUGUGGGUCGGCGCGAACGAGAGGAGGCGCGAGUUCGAAGAAGACCCGGAAGGGAUUUGGGAAGGGGAAGGAGAGGGGUUUUCGGCGACGGACGACGACGAUCGACUGAUUCGGCGGCGGCUAGGGUUCUGGCGUUGAGACGAGGGGUGGCGACGACGACGGAGAGGCGGAGGCGCGUCGAUCGGAGGGCAGCAGCGGAAUCCACGAGAAGGCGCAGUCGUCGGAGAAGCAGCCGAAGGGGAGGGUUUUCACUUUUCAGCGACGUGUUUGAGUGUUUGUGUUUGGUUGGCUUGUUUGGAACAGGUGUUAACGUGUUUCGGGUCUGAACAAUGUUCCAACACUGACCCGACCCGAAACAUAUUUUGUUACUUGUUUUAUGCCUGUUACCCAAACAAUUUUAAGACCGGAAACACAUACUCAACUUGUUUCGUGUUCAGGUCGUGUUCGGAUCGGGUCGGGUCGGGUCGGAUUUUUUUGACACCCCUAGAGAGAACACGAGGGGGGCCUAUGGCAUGAAAUACUGGAGGUAUGCGUCGGCUCUCGAGUGAUUGAGGCAGACUUGGGCAUAAGUGGCGAGUUGAAGUGGUCAUCCAUGAAUGGCAGCUCCUUCACGUCGACGCACACGACGCUCGAGAGCUUGAUUCCAAGCUGUGCAUGUCUCACUCUAUCCAUGUACCUCCCGCCCCCCGACGUGAUUGCGACUUGUACAUCAUUUGAUUUCGAGUAAUAGUUAUUACACAUGCGCCGAUUAAAAGAACUUAUGAGUACCUUUAUAUGUAAUUUCUUAGAUAAAAAUAUAGAUUCUCUAUGUGAAUUUUACGAGAAUUUGGCAAACUCUCUAGGCGAAUACGGAUUGACAUACCCAAUUAAGGAUAAUAUUAUUUACAAAUUGGUUGAAGUUUCUUCUUAUUAUGAGAGAACAUGCUUGCGAAUUGUAAAGCAAUUAAACGUUCAUCAAAUGUUAUGGAGACUAGACCUUAUAGAGAGUGCUUUCAAGACCCAUGGGAUUAUGGAGACGCUCUAAUCUCAAACUCUUGACUUCGGCCUAUUGGCCCCAUCAAAAAAUCAAUUCAAACGUCCAAUUUAUUCACUUGGGCCGAGCUCCAACAAUCAACAACCGGAUCUUAAUUUUGGACGUGACAAAGCAUCAGCUUAGAAGAUUUGAAUAUGGAUUCCAACUCUGAUGAUGCAGGCCCGAAUCUUGACCCACAGCGUGAGCUCGCUUUCACUGUAAUAAACUAGUCUGUCCCCCUACUUGUACUAUUGUACGUUUAGUAACAAUGGCCACUGCUUUUUGGCCCGAAAUGUUUCAAUUAUUGUCUGAAGUACGAUCUUUUUUAGUGUUAUCAUCCAGUAAAGCAUCUUGUACAUGCCUAUGCCUAUGCCUAUGUAUUACACGCAAAAAGUUUAUAAUGCCCUCAGCCUUUUCAAUGUAAGGCUAAUUUCGAUGAGAAGUUGGAAUAAGAGUUGUCUUAAGUUUUAUAUCUAUAUACCCUCUCCCGCAGUAUUCUAAACGCUCUUAUCCCUCCCCCAGUGGAUUGCAUUAGAGAGUCAUAAUUAUCUUGUCAGUUCAAUAAGAAGAGAUAAUGAUAGAAUGCAGUGUCUAAUUAUUGAAUGCCUUAUGGUAUACUUUAAUGAUGUCGAGAGAUUAAAAGACAGUCCUGUGAAAAGUCGAGAGAGGGUCUUAUUUAUAACUAAAAUAUAAGGAAAAUGAGCCACGAAGAUCCUUUUGAAGUAAAACAGCAACUGCUUUUUCCCUUUUUUUCAGUGUGUGACCUGGCUUUCACGUGAAGCUUCGCCUGACGGAAGCAAUGCUCAGGCCAGAGAUCAGCACAGGCGCACGACCCCACACGUGCCAGAAUCCUACAGGAACUCCUCCAAAAUAAAGAUAAAUAAAUAAACAAAAUAUAAAUUAAAAACUUGGGGAUAAAAAUAAAUAAAUAAAGCUGCCCCUUUCUCAUCCUCCUCCGUCUUCUUCCAUUUUUGUUAGCCAAUCGUCGAUCGAGUCCUCCAAACCCCCAACAAAUCCCCCCUUCCAUGGCCGCCGCCGCCUCCGCCCCGGCGCAACCCCCGGCGCCGCCGCCUCCCCCGCCGCCCGCCAAGCACAUCUUCAUCCUCUCCGGCCAGAGCAACAUGUCCGGCUACGGCGGCGUCACCCGCCACCACGGCUGGGACGGGGUCGUCUCCCCGGAGUGCCGCCCCGACCCCUCCGUCCUCCGCCUCAGCGCCGACCUCCGGUGGGAGGAGGCCCGGGAACCCCUCCACCGCGACAUCGGCACCCGGAAGGCCUGCGGCGUGGGCCCGGGGAUGGCCUUCGCGAACGCGGUGAGGGAGCGCGGCGGGGUCGCGGGGAUGGCGGUGGGCCUGGUGCCGUGCGCGGUGGGGGGGACGGCGAUCCGGGAGUGGGCCCGCGGGGAGGAGCUGUACGAGAGCAUGGUGAGGAGGGCGAGGGCGAGCGUGAGGGACGGCGGCGGCGAGAUCAAGGCGCUGCUGUGGUACCAAGGCGAGAGCGACACCUCCACGCAGCACGACGCGGAGGCGUACGGGGAGAAGAUGGAUGCGCUCAUCAAGAACGUGCGCGACGAUCUCGGCCUGCCCUCCCUUCCCGUCAUCCAGGUGAGUUCCGUCUCCGUCGUCCACUCCGCUGAGCUUUUUCGAUCGCCAUUGUUGAACAGAGGAUAGCUCUCUCUCUCUCUCUCUCUCUCUCUCUCUCUCUGCUUGGCACUUGAUUGAAUUAUUUUACAAAACACCCUAGAACCAAAAUUAGAAUAGACGUAAUUGUUAUUAUUUUAAUACCCUAGAACCAAAAUUAGAAUAGACGUAAUUGUUAUUAUUUUAAUAGUCAAGUUAAUGAGUUAGAUGCUCCCAUGAUCAUAUCAAUAUAUGUGGUUAAUCUAUUUGUGAGUAGUAUUCAAAGUUAUACACACUAUAAAGUUAUACACACUAUAUGUGGUUUUAUCAUUUUAAAUGAUAUUAUAAUUUAAUAUAUAUAAAUAUUUUUGUAUUUUUUUAUUGAAUAAUUUAUUAUUUUUAUUUCAAUAGCGAUGUAACGCGGGGAUUAAAAUAAUUGUUGUCGAUGCAAUUGAUACUCAAUUUAGAUAGUCAUACCUAAUCGCGGGCAACUAAUGUUUUGCUAAUUAUUAUCGUAUGAGUAAUUUUUAAUAUAAUAAAGAAUUGGCGCAUCAUCAAGAAACUUAAUAACAAUUAUAUCAUUUUUUUUUACAUAUUAUUUAAUAAUUUACUUAGUAAUCAUAUAUGUGAUUAUUUCAUAUGAGUUUACAAUUGGUGUUGUUAAUGCUUGAAUAAUUUAAAUAAAUUUACUUAUGAAUAAAACUUACCUAGUUGAGUGAGUGGGAAGAAAAGGACGGAUUACGUUAUAACAACUAUUGCCGCAAGUAAGCACUACACUAGGCAGCCAAUCUGUAUUAGAUCUGUAAUAUAAUAGGCGUUAAUACAGCUAAACAUGUCAUAAAUUUCAAUCUUUUUUACAUGACUUUUGUCUUUAUUUGUGUCAUGCCUGUAAUUUUUCAAAGUGGGUAGACAUGUGCGCUUGGGGCCCCCAGUAGGCAACAAAAUGAGAUGGGAACACUGCCAAAUGAAUACAAAAGAGUAGUUAUCUUGAUUCUCAUCAUCAGAAAAGAUAUGUUGGGGAAAAGAAAGUAAAUUUUACAGAUCAAUUUUAUUUGAACUAUGAUCUUGUGGGCAUAAUGAUGUGAAUUCACAUGAUUAACUAUUGAUAUGUGAGGCUCACAUUAUAAUGGUUUGGAUAAUCUUGUUCACUUGGUGUAUCGACCAUACAUUACCAAAUGAGGAGACCAUGAUAGGACAAUGAUUAUCUGAGACAAAUAUAGCCCAUACUCUGCUUUACACAGGGAUUAACUUUUGGUCUCUAGACGACAUUAAUUUAUAUCAUACGGCACGCAAGACUUAGAUACUUCUUGAUGCAUAGGAUUCACAGGGUGGCAAGCAGAAAGUAUCCUCGCACUAUCUCAUCUUAUCGGACUUACAAGAUACUCCUAACUCUAUAAUGCCGUCAAGCCUCAAGAAAGAAAUAAGAGUGUUUAGAAGACUAUGGAAGAGUGUGUAUAAAGAGAAAACUUUGAUAAUUCUUAUUCUAACUUCUCAUUGAAUUUAAGGUCAAGGGUAUUACAGGCUUUUGUCUAUGAUACAAAGACAUCUGCAAAAUGCUUUUAUAGGAUAAUAAUACAAAAUACUACCACAUGUGCAUAUGAAAGAUGCUUUUGUUGCAGGAUGCUUUUGUAGGACAAUUUUACUAGAAAGAAGGAUAAUAAUAGAAGCAUUUUAGCCAAAAGUAGUGGCAUGUUUUACUUUAGGUAAAAUAAUACAAUUAGUGGACAACUGAUUUUCUGACGCAAAUGUGAGCUCGUGAUGUGGGUCAUAAUUUGAGUUUGCAUCAUCGGAGUUGGAAUCCCUAUUCAAAUUUUUUGGGCUAGUGCUUUAUCCUAGUCAAAUAUAAAGAUUCAACUAUUGAUUGUUAGACCUGGCCUAAGUGACCAUGCGCUACAUCUGUGAUUUGGACCCCACCUGGCUAGAUUGAUCAUUUGAUGAGGACAAGUGGCCAAAGUCGAGUUUGAGAUUAGAACCAAUGUCUUCAUAAUCACAUGGAUCUUGAGAGAACUCCAUAGGGUCUAGAUGAUUCCCUCUAUAUACUGCCAAAGAUUGUUGGAUGGCUUUUAUAGUAGGCUUGUAUGCUUGGGAAUAAUCCCACAAAACCUCUUCUUGAUAUGCAUAGGGGUAUAUGGGUUAUGGAAUAGUAUGAUUCUUUUGGUAGAACACUCUUUAGAUCUUCAUGUAUUUGUUUGGAAGGUCUACAAUACUGCAUCCAAAAGAUUUAUGGACGUUUGAUUUAUGGAAUUUUAUAUUGGAGCGAAUAAAUAUAAAAUAUUCCAUCAUAAGUUUGUAACAUCCAUGACUUGAGGAAAAUGAUGGUUUUGCGGACCUCAUGAUCUGGAUCGAUGUCCAACUGUUUGAUAAACAAUUGCUUCCAAUAAAUCAAAGGGCGAAACUAUUCAAGAGAUUUUGCAAGAUGCUGGAGGUUAUGCUGCUGAUAUCCUCCAUCCAUGAAGUCUUCAGCAAUCCAUGGCAUUCUUGCAAUGGGAAACUCAAUAGCAACGGUGUGUUAUGGAGAACAUACCAAUAAAAUCUUUUAGUUCUUUUGGAAAUUUUGAGCAAAUGAGUACACAUGGAUAAUUGGAUAUAUAUGAUGCAUGCGACUAGGUCUCAGGUUUAGGCAUUUACAUUGUCUAAAAAUCUUGAGCUGGCAUUCUCACGUAAGUUUUAUACAACCAUUCAAGAAUCAUUCUCUAGGGAUAAGUUUGAGGUUUCUACCUGUGUGAUUUGGAGUAUUAAAAUUAUAUGAUAGGUUUUUGAACCUCUUGCUUCUUGGUAUACUUCUCUGGAUUUCCCAGUGUGGUUCUAUAGAUGAUGUAAACAUGUGUAAUGGAGGAGCUUCUUAGAUUUGGAAAGGUCUGCAAGAACAUUCUUUUCCCCUUCGAUGUAUUUUGUUUCAAAUGAGUACUUUGAAAACUAUUCUGACCAUGUAACAACUAAGCCUAUGGAAAAUGUCUUUUGUUUGAACUUAUCAUAUAUGUGGAAAGGAAGACAUAUCCAUUUUGCAACUCAUGAAUGUUAUAAACUUAUGAGAGAUAUUUUAUGUCUAUCCACACCCAUUUAGAAUUCCACAGCUCAUAUUUUCAUAUUCUCUUGUAAAGGUGUAUAAAUCUUUUGAAUGAAGUAUUAUAGACCUUCCUAAAGAAUACAAGGAGAUUCGAAGAGUUUUUUUUUUUUUUUUCUUUUAGGUGAAACGAAUGAUAUUGUUUCAAAAUCCAUAUGAUAUGGGCAUAUAUUAAGAAGAGGUUUCCAUGGGAUUACACCCAAACAUACAAAACCUAUUAGAGGAGCCAUCUAGCUAGCUUCAAUAGAAUACAUAAUACAUAAGUACAUAAGGAAUCAACCAAAUCCUAUGAAGUUCUCUCAAGACUCAUGAGAUUAUGGAGACACUAGCAUUGAUCUCAAACACUUGAAUCUAACCGACUAACUGAUCUCACCAAUGAUCAAUCCAAUUAGGUGAUGUCCAUCCCUUAGACCAAGCACAUGGUCACUUGAGCCUAGCUCCAACAAUCAACAAUUGGAUCUUAAUCUUCGACUAGGACAAAGGACCAUCCUCAUUGAUAUGGAUUCCAGCCAAAAUGAUGCGUACUCGAAUCUCAACCCACACCAUAAGCCCUUCAACAAGCAUCUAAUUUUAAAAGGCAGUCUGUCCAAUAGUUGUAUUGUUGAUUGUAGAUGCUACUUUUGGUCAAAGUGCUUUUAUUAUAGCCCAUCUAGUUAGUAAAAUUGUCAUGUAAAAGCAUCUUAUAAAUACAUUUGUGAUCGUAUUUUGUUUUAUUAUGCUGUAAAAGCAUCUUGCGUAUGCCUAUGGUUACUAAUGCAAGCGCCUAUCGUGCCUCAACCUUUUACAUGGAAGGCUAACUUCUACGAAAGGUUGGAAUAAAAGUUGGCUGAGGCCUAGUUUGAUAACCAGCCAAACAGUAACUAUUUGUGUGUUUUUUGUUCCUUCAAAAAAAAAUUAGAAAUCUUUUCAAUAAGGUUUUUAUUCCCGAGAAUAGAUUUGGAACAGAAUUCAGAAGUAAAAAACGUUAUUUCUUGGUUCUCGAGAACAACUCCAGAAUUAAAAUCUUUUCUUUUCUUUUUUUCUCUUUCCUUUUCUUCCUUUUUCUUUUCUUCUUUUCCUUUUCUUCUUCUUCUUCUUUCUCUUGCUAGUCAUCAACCUUGCCCAUGGCCGACAAUCGGCUAGGCGAGGGUCGAUGACCUCACCGAAGCUUCUCUGGCCAACAACGAGGCCGAGCUCGCCUAGCACCAAACCUCAUGGUGGCCUGUCGAGGUCAAGUCUUGCUAGGGGACAAUAAUGCUCCGAUAAGGUUGUUGGCCAUGGCCGAGGCCAACAAUCGGCUAGAGGAAGAAGAAAAAAAAGAGUAAGAAGAAAUAGAAAAAAAGAGAAAAAUGUAAUAAAAUUAUUAAAAACUUAUCGUAAAAGAAUUUGAUGGUAGUACAAAAAAAAAUUCUAUUUCGGGAGUAAAAAUUUUAAACAGUUAUCAAAUACCUUCAAAUGCUUAAAAACUCAUACAAUGAACAGAAUAAAAAAAAAAUUCUGAUUAAAAAUUGUUCUCAAUAAAAAGAAUAGUUACCAAACACAUUCUUUAAAUUUUUUGUCUAUUAAGUAUAAGAUGUUCGUGUGCUUUAUGGUAAAGGUUAAUGGCGUCUAGAAACAAAAAUGCAGUCCCUUUGAGAGGCUACAUGGUGCAUGACAUAGCAAAUUGGUAAAUUACGGUUGAUUGCGGAUCCUUCCAUGUUGAAAUUUAUCUUUUUUAAGAUUUGUUCAAUAGAUCUAAUCUGUCUUUUUCAUGAAUUUCUUUGAGCCAUGCCAUCGGGUAUUUUAUCUUUUCAUCGUGGUAGACGUUGGGCCAACAAUUGAUAUUUUUGUAUUGUAAUUAUCUCGAGUUAUAGAUUAAUUGUGUUAAAUUUACUCCGAAUACAACAUGUUUGUUAAUACUAUCAUGUUUUUGAAUACUAAACACAACGAGUUUAUUAUAUAGUUACUACAUUUAUUUGGACAUCUAUUAAAAUAUCUAAAUGUCUCCAAACAAUUUGUUUGUUAACACGACUUGCAUGUUAACCUAUUUGGUUAAAUGUGUUCAAGCGUGUUAAAUUGAAAUGGUUAUCAAAGUUGCCAAAGAUACAUGAUUUUUCUUGUAUAGAUGGGUUUAUCAUAAAAAUCUCAUACUCAUAAAAAAAGGAGUCGUCCCUUAAUCUACAAUUAAGCAUAUGUCAUUUGAAUUCUACUUAUUUAUUUUAUAUCAAUUAGAUAUUUAACAGGAAAAAACUAUUGUAAAUUUUAAAAAAAUUACGAAAAAUUCGUGUUUAGUUCUAGGUGUUUUAAAUUGUAUAUAUUGAUAGGUUUCAAGUUUUUCUUAUUGAACUAAAUGGAUAAAUGUGCUAACAAUUAAAAAAUUUAUUGUGAAAGUAUAAUUGAGUAUUAAAACUUUUAAAAAAUACAUUAAAGUAGUUGUCCAUAUGGUCCAAUUUGAUUAACAGAAAAUGCUAACAUGACAUUAUUGCAUUUUUCAUUAACAUGAUGGUGUGAUGGUGACGUAGGAAAGACAAACUAAUUUCUUUUUUUAAGAAAAGCAUUCUUUGUUAGCAAAAUUGGAGAGAGCUAACGAAGAUUAAGCGCACCAUUUUGAUGAUUUUUAGAAUUCGAUUGCAUUUAUAAUAAAAAAUAAGGAUUCAACUGUACUUUAAGCAUAAAUUUUAGGGUUUUUAGUUUGCUUUAUUUUCAAAUAAAUAUCUAAUCGUGGUGUCUGCCCUUUGACAAAUUAAAAGUGGAAGUCCUCGAGGGGGCCUGAUCUUCGCACUUCUUUUUAGUAAUGAAUACUAUUUAUAGCUCUUGGGAGAGCGUUUAACCGCCUAAAUUUGGCAAGCAUUAUCUCCCAUAAUAAGGAAAAACUUCAAUUAUAUGUAAAUGAAUAUUGUUCUUAAUUGAGCAUGUCAAUCCGAAUUUGCCCAGAUGGUUUGCCAAAUGCUCAUUAAAUUAAUGAGAGAAACCAAAUUUUUAUAUAAGAAAUUAAACAUGAACGUAAUAACAAGAUAUUUCAAUCGGGUGUCCAUAACAACUACUGGGCUAAAUCAAUGUACAGGUCGCAAUCACGUCGGGGGACGCGAGGUACAUGGACAUAGUGAGACGGGCACAGCUCGGAAUCAAGCUCCCGAACGUCGUGUGCAUCGACGCGAAGGGGAUGCCACUCAAUGACGACCACAUUCACCUCACCACUCAUGCCCAGGUCCGCCUUGGCCACAUGCUGGCCGAUGCGUACCUCCAGCACUUCACACCAUAGCCCCACCCCCCAACAAAAAAGAAGAAGAAGAAGAAGAAGCCACAAAACAACUUCUUCUCUUGUGCUCGCUCUUCUUUCAUGUAAUAAUGUCAAAGUUCCAUCCUCCCGUCCUUUCAAGGCGGGCUGGGUGAGGUUUGUUCCAAGGGGUGAUUCU